rnacentral:rRNA from 1 species
UACGGGGGGGGCAAGCGUUGUUCGGAAUUACUGGGCGUAAAGGGCUAGUAGGCGGCCUGCUUAGUCAGACGUGAAAUCCCCAGGCUCAACCUGGGAACUGCGUCUGAUACUGGCAGGCUCGAAUCCGGGAGAGGGAUGCAGAAUUCCAGGUGUAGCGGUGAAAUGCGUAGAUAUCUGGAGGAAUACCGGUGGCGAAGGCGGCAUCCUGGACCGGCAUUGACGCUGAAUAGCGAAAGCCAGGGGAGCAAACGGG